AAGCAUGGUCUACGGAAAAGAGAUUUUCAGGUUCAGGAAUCGGUUACAAAGGUAGUACCUUUAAUUAAAUGUAUAGAAUUAACGUGGUUUUCCAAAAUAUUUAAUUUUCCCUCAAAACAAAAAUAAAAUAAAAUAAAUUGUUAGGAAACAAAAAAAAAAUUGUUUUAUGAACCCGACAAGGAUUGACCUCGCUCCUACGUAUAUCCAUUUAUAAUGGACAAUCA
rnacentral:lncRNA from 1 species